rnacentral:rRNA from 1 species
AACGAACGCUGGCGGCGUGCCUAAUACAUGCAAGUCGAACGCGCUGUGGCAAUUAUUGAGAAGCUUGCUUCAAUUUAAUUGUAAUGCAGCGAGUGGCGAACGGGUGAGUAACACGUGGGAAACCUCCCUCUUAGCGGGGGAUAACAUUUGGAAACAGAUGCUAAUACCGCAUACCAACUAGCACCGCAUGGUUCAAGUUUAAAAGAUGGUUCUGCUAUCACUAAAAGAUGGUCCCGCGGUGUAUUAGGUAGAUGGUGAGGUAACGGCUCACCAUGGCGAUGAUACAUAGCCGAGUUGAGAGACUGAUCGGCCACAUUGGAACUGAGACACGGUCCAAACUCCUACGGGAGGCAGCAGUAGGGAAUCUUCCACAAUGGACGAAAGUCUGAUGGAGCAACGCCGCGUGUGUGAUGAAGGGUUUCGGCUCGUAAAACACUGUUAUAAGAGAAGAAGGUCGGUGAGAGUAACUGUUCAUCGAGUGACGGUAUCUUAUCAGAAAGGGACGGCUAAAUACGUGCCAGCCGCCGCGGUAA